rnacentral:rRNA from 1 species
UACGUAGGCAGCAAGCGUUGUUCGGAAUUACUGGGCAUAAAGAGUGUGUAGGCGGUGCUCCAAGUCUGGUGUGAAAUCUCCCGGCUCAACUGGGAGGGUGCGCUAGAAACUGGAAUGCUAGAGGAUGGGAGAGGUAAGCGGAAUUCCUGGUGUAGCGGUGAAAUGCGUAGAUAUCAGGAGGAACACCUGUGGUGGAGACAGCUUACUGGACCAUUUCUGACGCUGAGACACGAAAGCGUGGGUAGCAAACAGG